rnacentral:lncRNA from 1 species
UUAUUAGUCUAUUUGAAAUUACGUUACCAAUUACAAGCUACCACGUAAGCGUUGUCAAAAAAUUAUAAAAAAAAAUGUUGUUAAAAGAAGUUUUUCCUAAAAAUAAUAAUCUCAACAAACCAAAGGUUUUGCAUUAAAGGCCUCUCAGUUGGAGGCAAUAUGUUUUGGCAAGAAUCUCAACCUGCUCAGCAAAUGAUUUCCCUCCAUGGUCUCCAAUAUAUGGGACAAUUUGGUUCCAUCGUUUUCUACAUGCCUCACCAGUCCUAUGCUCAAGCAGAUCGUCCCAAUUCACCUCCUCCAUGCAGCACGCGUCCAAGUUAUAUAAAGCAUCGACCAGGCGAUAGUCAUCAGUAUCACGGAGUUUCUAGUGACCAACUUUUCACCAAUUGCCUCC